AUGAAGUUUCUUCAUUCAUUAUGCUUCUUUUAUCUUUGCAUUUCUCUUUUCCCUUCUUUUUCCUCCUCUACCAUACUAUUUCAGGGGUUCAACUGGGCAUCGGUUGAAAAACAAGGAGGAUGGUGGAAUUUCUUGAAGACUAAGGUACCUGAUAUAGCAGAUGCUGGUGUUGAAUAUGUUUGGCUUCCUCCUCCCAUAACUCUCAAGAUGAUGGUCCUCAAGGUUAUCUACCGAAAAGAUUAUAUGAUCUUGACACAUCAAAAUAUGGCAACAAGGAAGAACUGA